GCAAACAUGAAAAAUACAGAAGUAGUGCUGGAAUUCUUCAUCUUCAAUGACUUUACAGGUCUAUUUCUCAUCUCUUUACAGUGUAUAACAGGUCUAUUUCACAUCUCUUUACAGUAACAGGUCUAUUUAUCAUCUCUUUACAACAUAUCACAGGUCUAUUUCUCAUCUCUUUACAGUGUAUAACAGGUCUAUUUCACAUCUAUUUACAGUGUAUAACAGGUCUAUUUCACAUCUAUUUACAACAUAUCACAGGUCUAUUUUUCAUCUCUUUACAGUGUAUAACAGGUCUAUUUCUCAUCUCUUUACAACAUAUCACAGGUCUAUUUCUCAUCUCUUUACAACAUAUCACAGGUCUAUUUCACAUCUAUUUACAGUGUAUAACAGGUCUAUUUCUCAUCUCUUUACAACAUAUCACAGGUCUAUUUCACAUCUCUUUACAACAUAUCACAGGUCUAUUUCACAUCUCUUUACAGUGUAUAACAGGUCUAUUUCACAUCUAUUUACAGUGUAUAACAGGUCUAUUUCACAUCUAUUUACAACAUAUCAC
ensembl:lncRNA